UGCAUUGGCCUGGAAUCGAACCUGGGCCGCCCGCGUUGAAGGCGAGCAUUCUACCACUGAACCACCGAUGG
rnacentral:tRNA from 1 species